CAGUCAGUGGAGAACUGUCAUAUGAUGACCUGAUUUGGCUUAUUCCCACAACCUUACAUUUUGCCAACCUGGAUAUUACGAGAGUGGAGGAAACUGCUAAAGUGACAGUAGAAUUACUUUCCAAAAUCCCUGACAAAACAUCUAUCCUUGGAAAAAUAGUUUAUCUGGCAUAUGGGACUAUGGUGAACAGGCAAUGUUCCACUUCUCGAACUUGUCAUCCUAAAUUGCUUGAGCCUCUCCACAACCUCCUAACUGAGGCAGUUCGGGAAAAAGAAGAAAGCAAAAUUGCAUUAGCUCUGAAAGCUAUUGCCAAUGCCGGUCAGAUCAGCAGCCUGAAACAAGUGAAACUCAUGUGUGAGAAUGUUAAAUAUCCUGAAUACAUCCAGGUCAUUGC